ACUGUCUUCGCUGGUUUUCCGAUGACUGACUUGAAGACCGCCAUUGAAACUGCUGGGGACAUCACUCAGAUGCAAGUCCAAGUCAAGUUACUUGGGACCCAAUUUGGGGUUGCCCCUCCGAAAAGUCCGAUGCCUUCGAAUAUAUCUCUUGCAAAUGAUGGAUAUUUUUGUCCCAAGCCAACUCUACAAGGAAAGAGUGAGAUGCACGUCUGUUGCACACCCGAUCUACGCGUGAAAACAAAUAUCACAACCAGUGAAGCGUUCUUGCCUCG
rnacentral:misc_RNA from 1 species